rnacentral:tRNA from 1 species
GUUAGGGUGGCAGAGCCCGGAAAUUGCAAAAGACCUAAGCCCUUUGAAUGGAGGUUCAAAUCCUCCCCUUAACU